AUGAAGACAACAAAAUGACAAGCAACGAAAGAGAAUACAUACAUCAUAAAGUUUCAGAAAGAUUACAGAUAAUCCACAUUCAAGGUGUAACCCAGACAUACAUUCAUUAACCAGUACUCUUUAACAUCAAGACUAGUCCACAUCAAACUUAUAGAUCCUUACAAAAGCAGUUUCCAUAGCUGAGGACGAAACCCACUUAUCUAUAACCACGAGGGUAGUUCCUUUCAUAAGGAGAAUAUGACCGGGAUCGCGCACGUCUCGACCUUCCAGCAUAAGGUGAGCGUCUAGGAGAAUAAUCUCGCCCACCUCUAUAUGGAGAGUGUCUGGGAGAAUAAUCUCGCCCACCUCUAUAUGGAGAGUGUCUGGGAGAAUAAUCUCGCCCACCUCUAUAUGGAGAGUGUCUG
rnacentral:misc_RNA from 1 species